AUACGGAGGGUGCGAGCGUUAAUCGGAAUUACUGGGCGUAAAGGGUGCGUAGGCGGUUUGAUAAGUCGGAUGUGAAAGCCCCGGGCUUAACCUGGGAAUGGCAUUCGAUACUGUCAGGCUAGAGUAUGUCAGAGGUUGGCGGAAUUCCUGGUGUAGCGGUGAAAUGCGUAGAUAUCAGGAGGAACACCAGUGGCGAAGGCGGCUAACUGGGUCAAUACUGACGCUGAGGCACGAAAGCGUGGGGAGCAAACAGGAUUAGAAACCCCUGUAGUCC
rnacentral:rRNA from 1 species